rnacentral:rRNA from 1 species
AUUGAACGCUGGCGGCAGGCCUAACACAUGCAAGUCGAACGUGUCGAGCGCGGGAGUGAAAUGUCGGGGACACUCCCUGAUGGAGGGGGAUAACUACUGGAAACGGUAGCUAAUCCCGCAUACCAUCAGAUGUGCCCCGAUGGGAUUAGCUAGUUGGUGGGGUAACGGCUCACAAAGGCGACGCUCCCUAGCUGGUGUCAGAGGAUGACCAGCCAGACGGGACCGGAGACACGGUCCAUACUCCUACGGCAGGCAGCAGUGGGGAAUAUUGCACAAUGGGCGCAAUCCGGAUGCAGCCAUGCCGCGUGUAUGAAGAAGGCCUUCGGGGUGUAAAGUACGUUCAGCGGGGAGGCGUUACCCGCAGAAGAAGCACCGGCUAACUCCGUGCCAGCAGCCGCGGUAAUUC